CUGAGGAGAGCAACUGACAGGAUGGA
rnacentral:piRNA from 1 species